UGGCGGACGGGUGAAUAAUGUCUGGGAAACUGCCCGAUGGAGGGGGAUAACUACUGGAAACGGUAGCUAAUACCGCAUAACGUCGCAAGACCAAAGAGGGGGACCUUCGGGCCUCUUGCCAUCGGAUGUGCCCAGAUGGGAUUAGCUAGUAGGUGGGGUAACGGCUCACCUAGGCGACGAUCCCUAGCUGGUCUGAGAGGAUGACCAGCCACACUGGAACUGAGACACGGUCCAG
rnacentral:rRNA from 1 species